UCGGGGGGAGGAGGUGAAGAGGAGCAGGUGGGAGGUGCUCAGGGGAGGGAGCAGAGGAGAGUGAGGGAGCCGCCGGCGGGCGGGCAGGGGCAGCCUUUGGAGAGGGGGAAGUGCGAGGGUGGGAAGAGAUGGAGUGGGGUUGUGGCUUUGGGGGAAGAGGCCGAGCGGGAGUGAAGACUCGGGGCAGAGCAAGGGUGGAGCACCCACCAGCAAAAAAGAAAGUCAGUGCCAGAGUGUAGGGACUUAAUUUUGGCCAUGACUAGGGAUUGAAAAGAGAAAAGAGUAACGAGGAGUCCGGUGGCGCCUUAAAGACUAACAGAUUUAUUUAGGAUAAGAUUUUGUGGGUACUUAGAGCUAAUACUGAUACUUAGAGCUAAAGUAUGAGUUUGAAGUCAAGGAUAAGGACUAAUGCAUAGGAGCACUUAUAGACUUGCGUUUGGUGGGUAGUCCACAGAGCGGGUGGGAAUGAAGAACACACCCUGUCCAGUGAGUGACAUGAAUGCAAGGGAGUAUCUCUUUCUUUCCCCUCUUCUAGGAUGUGACGAGCAUCUUGAACAGAAGCAAUGGUCUGAAGUUUCAGAAGCCAGUUCCUGUCUCUUCUGAUAUGAAAAGCUCUAUCAGCAAUUUCUCUCUCAAGACUGUUGUCCUCAAGGGAGUGUUCAAGAAAUUCAAAGAGACUCUGCAGGAUGAACUGGGAAAAGGUGAAAAAGGUAAAAGGAACGUAGUCUUUACCUUGUGGUUGUAAGUUACACAGGGUUUUGGCACAGGUGCCAACUUUCUUCUUUCCGGGUGGGUGCUCCAACCCUCUCUGCCCUGAGGCCCUGCCCCCACUCUGCCCCUUCUCUCAAGGUCCCACCCUUGCUCUGUCUCUUCCUGCCCCCACUCCACUCCCUCUCCCCAGCGACUCCUGCCCACUGCUGAACAGCUGAUCGGCAGAGCCCACUACACAGCUGAUUGGUGGGUGCUGAACCCACUAUUUUUUUUUUUCCACACUGGAGCACCCAUAGAGUCGGCACUUACGAGUUUUGGUGGAGGAAAAUGACAAUUUUAAUUUUCUUCUCUCUCAAUGGUUUCCAGAUGCAGUUGGCUUAGGCCUGGUCUACACUAAAAAGUGAAGUUGACCCAGCUGUGUCGCUCAGGAGUGUAAAAAAUCCACACCCCAUAGCGACAAAGCUAAGCCAACCUAAUUCUCCAGGUAGACUGCACUAGGUCAACAGAAGAAUUCUUUUGUUGACCUACCUGCCUCUUGUGGUGGUGGAUUACCCACGUUGACGGGAACGCCUCUCGUUAGCAUAGGUAGUGUCUACACUGAAGCACUACAGUGGCCCAGCUGCAGCUGUAGCAUUUCAAAUGUAGACUCAGUUCAAGAGUCAAAAGAUGGGUUUUCUCACUGAGGGUCUGAAAGUCAAGCUGGAUCCUUUCUGCCUGUUACACACACCAGCCUGCAGCUUGCAAUGGAAAGCACAGAGAUUUUAACUUACUCUGGUUUCAUCCAAUUCCCUCUGGUUCCUCGGGCAUUUCAAACAGCAAAUUAAGGUCCCAAUUUUGCCAAACUUACACUGAGAUCUGGUCUAGAAAGUUUUACUGGCAUAGCUAUGUCAGAAAUGUGAAAAAAAAUCAUACUUCUAUGGAUAUCCAGUAGAACCUCAGAGUUACGAACACCAGAGUUAUGAACUGACCAGUCAACUACACACCUCCUUUGGAACCAGAAGUACGCCAUCGGGCAGUAGCAGAGGCCAAAGAAA
ensembl:lncRNA